UUGGAGUCUGUGUGCUGGUGGGCGUUGGGGUUGAUGUCACCGAAGUGGUGGUGGUGAUGGGUGUCGGGGUUGAAGUCUGUGUGCUGGUGGAUGUUGUGGUUGGGGUCACCGU
rnacentral:lncRNA from 1 species